rnacentral:tRNA from 3 species
GCCCCCGUAGCUCAGUUGGAUAGAGCGCCGGCCUCCGGAGCCGGGUGCGUGGGUUCGAGUCCCGCCGGGGGUACCA